rnacentral:rRNA from 1 species
AUUGAACGCUGGCGGCAGGCCUAACACAUGCAAGUCGAACGGUAACAGGAAGAAGCUUGCUUCUUUGCUGACGAGUGGCGGACGGGUGAGUAAUGUCUGGGAAACUGCCUGAUGGAGGGGGAUAACUACUGGAAACGGUAGCUAAUACCGCAUAACGUCGCAAGACCAAAGAGGGGGACCUUCGGGCCUCUUGCCAUCGGAUGUGCCCAGAUGGGAUUAGCUAGUAGGUGGGGUAACGGCUCACCUAGGCGACGAUCCCUAGCUGGUCUGAGAGGAUGACCAGCCACACUGGAACUGAGACACGGUCCAGACUCCUACGGGAGGCAGCAGUGGGGAAUAUUGCACAAUGGGCGCAAGCCUGAUGCAGCCAUGCCGCGUGUAUGAAGAAGGCCUUCGGGUUGUAAAGUACUUUCAGCGGGGAGGAAGGGAGUAAAGUUAAUACCUUUUCUCAUUGACGUUACCCGCAGAAGAAGCACCGGCUAACUCCGUG